AUUAGGAGCCUUGUCUCAAUUCCACACACACACACACAUACCAGCAGCCAAGGAGAGGGUGAGAGAAGGAGAGUGUGAUUAGAGGGAAGUAGAGAAGAAGAAGAAAAGAAAAAGAAGAAAAGAAAAGGAAGAAAAUGGUGCCUUCUAGGGUCAAGGUGAUGAAGCAGUUUACAAUGGUGAAGGUUAUUUCGAAGGCAAACACGAUGAAGUGUUGGAGUUGUGGUUCAUUUGAAGACUUAAGACUAGUUGUUUUUUUUUUUUUCCUUUUGACUUUUGGUUUGGCAAUGUUUUGGUAAUCCUGUAAUGGAACAUAAACGAAUUAUCUGUGAUAUUAACUCUGGUUAUAUAUGUAUAUUAAGCUGUUCUGGUUAUCUAUCCUACUUGUGUUGUA